rnacentral:rRNA from 1 species
UACGUAGGGUGCAAGCGUUGUCCGGAAUUAUUGGGCGUAAAGAGCUCGUAGGCGGUCUGUCGCGUCGGCUGUGAAAAACUCGGGGGCUCAACCCCCGAGCCUGCAGUCGAUACGGGCAGACUAGAGUGCUGCAGGGGAGACUGGAAUUCCUGGUGUAGCGGUGGAAUGCGCAGAUAUCAGGAGGAACACCGGUGGCGAAGGCGGGUCUCUGGGCAGUAACUGACGCUGAGGAGCGAAAGCGUGGGGGAGCGAACAGG